AGGUGGGGAUGAGUAGCAAUGCUGUGUACUAGGAGGUAUUGCACUUGUCCCGGCCUGU
rnacentral:pre_miRNA from 1 species